rfam:Myotis lucifugus cont2.52533, whole genome shotgun sequence.
CCAAAGGCUCUUUUCAGAGCCACCCACCUUCUCACUGAAAGCGCUG